GACGAACGCUGGCGGCGUGCUUAACACAUGCAAGUCGAACGGACCUGUUUUUGAAGCGCUUCGGCGUGGAUGGAGCGGGUCAGUGGCGCACGGGUGAGUAAUGCGCGAGGACCUGCCCGCGGGAGGGGGACAGCAGUUGGAAACGGCUGGUGAUACCCCGUAAGCCGGGAGGUAAAAGGGCGGAGACGCCCGCCUGCGGAUGGACUCGCGUCCUAUCAGCUAGUUGGUGAGGCAACGGCUCACCAAGGCGACGACGGGUAGCCGGCCUGAGAGGGUGACCGGCCACACUGGAACUGAGACACGGUCCAGACUCCUACGGGAGGCAGCAGUGGGGAAUUUUGGGCAAUGGGGGAGACCCUGACCCAGCGACGCCGCGUGAGGGACGAAGGCCCUUGGGUCGUAAACCUCUUUUGCAGGGGAAGAAGCGAUUGACGGUACCUUGCGAAUAAGUCCCGGCUAACUACGUG
rnacentral:rRNA from 1 species